rnacentral:lncRNA from 1 species
CCUCACAUACUAUCUCCCAAAGAUCCAAUGACGCCAAAAGUAGCUCCAUUUUGGCCUUCCAGUGGUGAAAGUUGUCACCUCUAAACUUUUCUACCAUUCUUAAGCUAUCACUUUCAAAAGAUGCCAUCUCAAGCUACAAGUAGGUCCAAAAAUCUCUUGAUUUGGAGUUGUAAUGCAAAAGGUAUGACUACUCAAAGAUUGCUGAACUA